rnacentral:lncRNA from 1 species
AUGGUGGGAGGCAGAGGGGCUCAUUGGGCGGCUGGCUGGGAGUGGCUGCAGGGCACAUGCGCCAUCUCAGCUUCUGCCAGGCCCCCGCUGAGCCCGGCUGGGCUGCGCAGGAACUGUCGCAACAAGGGGCAGGCGUGGAGCCCGAGGUGGAGGAGGAGAGGACUGUGUUCCUGCAAUGGUCCACUCCCUCGCACUGCUCGGUCACGCUUCUCAUGGCUCCAUAGUGGUGAGAGCCACCCGGACCAGUCUGCAGCUCCAGAAGGCUCUUCUGCUGCCCGGUGGGCAGGGGGCUGGCUGAGGCAGGGGCAGUUUCAGGCUGUCCAGAGCACUGGGUGGCCUCCUUUUUCUCGGCCUUGUCCUGGAUGCCUUUCUGGUGGAGCAGGGCGUGGCCCACAUCCUGGGCCAGGUGUGUGCUUUUCACUGAGACACCAGGGCUGCCCCUCAGGCUGGGAGCCUCCGGCAGCUUCCUUGUGGCGGACUCAAUGGAGAUGAUGGUUGGGGAGGAGGGUGAAUUCCGGCUGGAACGCAAGACUCGAGGGAGGUCUGAAUUAUCUCUCAGUGUCUCCAGCCCCCUGGUGGAAGGGGCAGUUGAGGCUGCUUGACCUCCGGCCUCUGUGUGAUUUUUAACCUUGGCUUGACUCUGGACCUCAGGGUCGCACAAAACCUUGGUUUGGCUCUUGACUGCAGUUUGACCCCUGACCUCUUGGCUUGAGCAAUUGGGCCUGGCUCUACUGCUGUCCGUGACACUGACCUUGUGGGCAUUGUGGUCCCUUGGGUGUCCUUGGGAAUGGCCCUUGGCAUUAACCUCAGGCUGGAGGCUAGACAUGGAGCUGAGGGCCUUGUGCACAGCCUCCUCGAUGUCCAGCAGCCUGGCCAGGGUCUGUUCCUUCAGCCGGGCCACUUCCGUGCUGACCUUUGUCAGCUCCCCAAAGGCCUGCUCCACCGAGGCCUCGGGCUGGCAGGGGGCAGCAGGAGUCUGAGAGGCCUCUCUCAGCUGGGGCACAGCCUCAAAGAGCCUCCGCAGCGCCCGCACGUCCACACUGCCUGCGGCCUCCUUCUCCAGGGCUUGUACCUGGUUCAGGAGACCCUGGAGCUCUUGCUGGCUUCUCUGCAGAACCUCAGGGCUCUCAGGGGCCCCUUGCUGGGAACUGUCCAUGGGCUUUUCUCCUGGGGGGCUGGGGCCCUUCUGUGGUGAGGUGGGGUCACUGCUGAGAGCUGAGACCUUGGGAGGCUCAGGGCUUUGGGUAUUGCUGCCAGCAGCCUGACCCCUUGUGGGCUUGGUGGCCACGGUACUGUGGCCAUGUUGGGAGCCGGGCUGGCUCUGUCCACCAGGGCAUCCAGCCAGAGGUACACGGCCCUGGCCUGCAGUGGUGGGGACCUUGGCUGACGGAAGGAUGGCUGCAUCUCUCUCACCUUGUUUGUGUUCUCCUUGCCCCACCUCCUUGGAAGAGCCAGGAGACAGAGCCAAGGGCUUGGGUGGUCUCUGAGGAGG